CUCAGGACGAACGCUGGCGGCGUGCUUAACACAUGCAAGUCGAACGAAGCAUGCGGAGCUUGCUCUGCAUGACUUAGUGGCGGACGGGUGAGUAACGCGUGAGCAACCUGCCUUUAAGAGGGGGAUAACGUCCGGAAACGGACGCUAAUACCGCAUAACAUAUGGGAUUCGUAUGUUUUCCAUAUCAAAGAUUUAUCGCUUAAAGAUGGGCUCGCGUCUGAUUAGCUAGUUGGUGAGGUAACGGCUCACCAAGGCGACGAUCAGUAGCCGGACUGAGAGGUUGAACGGCCACAUUGGGACUGAGACACGGCCCAGACUCCUACGGGAGGCAGCAGUGGGGAAUAUUGCACAAUGGGCGCAAGCCUGAUGCAGCGAUGCCGCGUGAGGGAAGAAGGUUUUCGGAUUGUAAACCUCUGUCUUCAGGGACGAUAAUGACGGUACCUGAGGAGGAAGCUCCGGCUAACUACGUGCCAGCAGCCGCGGUAAUACGUAGGGAGCGAGCGUUGUCCGGAAUUACUGGGUGUAAAGGGAGUGUAGGCGGGAUGGUAAGUUAGGUGUGAAAACUAUGGGCUCAACCCAUAGACUGCACUUAAAACUGCUGUUCUUGAGUGAAGUAGAGGCAAGCGGAAUUCCUAGUGUAGCGGUGAAAUGCGUAGAUAUUAGGAGGAACACCAGUGGCGAAGGCGGCUUGCUGGACGAUAACUGACGCUGAGGCGCGAAAGCGUGGGGAGCAAACAGGAUUAGAUACCCUGGUAGUCCACGCUGUAAACGAUGAAUACUAGGUGUGGGAGGACUGACCCCUUCCGUGCCGCAGUUAACACAAUAAGUAUUCCACCUGGGGAGUACGACCGCAAGGUUGAAACUCAAAGGAAUUGACGGGGGCCCGCACAAGCAGUGGAUUAUGUGGUUUAAUUCGACGCAACGCGAAGAACCUUACCAGGGUUUGACAUCCAACUAACGAAGUAGAGAUACAUUAGGUGCCCUUCGGGGAAAGUUGAGACAGGUGGUGCAUGGUUGUCGUCAGCUCGUGUCGUGAGAUGUUGGGUUAAGUCCCGCAACGAGCGCAACCCCUAUUGUUAGUUGCUACGCAAGAGCACUCUAGCGAGACUGCCGUUGACAAAACGGAGGAAGGCGGGGACGACGUCAAAUCAUCAUGCCCCUUAUAUCCUGGGCUACACACGUAAUACAAUGGUGGUUAACAGAGGGAAGCAAAACAGCGAUGUGGAGCAAAUCCUAAAAGCCAUCUCAGUUCGGAUUGCAGGCUGCAACUCGCCUGCAUGAAGCUGGAAUUACUAGUAAUCGCGGAUCAGCAUGCCGCGGUGAAUAC
rnacentral:rRNA from 1 species